rnacentral:misc_RNA from 1 species
CAACCCUCGGUCCCAACCGGUUUUGAGCCAGCGCGGGUCCCCGACCCCGCCGGCUUUAAAGUUGUAAGCUCUGCUGCCUGCCCGGCCCGACCAGAACAUAGUAAAACGCUACUUGCUCAAAGUCGGAGCCGAAGCGGUGCGGCCUGAACAAAACCUACCCAAAUCUCAG